rnacentral:rRNA from 1 species
AUUGAACGCUGGCGGAAUGCUUUACACAUGCAAGUCGAGCGGCAGCGCGGGGGCAACCCUGGCGGCGAGCGGCGAACGGGUGAGUAAUACAUCGGAACAUGUCCAGUUGUGGGGGAUAGCCCGGCGAAAGCCGGAUUAAUACCGCAUGAGCUCUGGCGAGGAAAGCGGGGGACCGUAAGGGCCUCGCGCGACUGGGUUGGCCGAUGUCCGAUUAGCUAGUUGGGGGGUAAAGGCUCACCAAGGCGAUGAUCGGUAGCUGGUCUGAGAGGGAUGAUCAGCCACACUGGGACUGAGACACGGGCCCAGACUCCUACGGGAGGCAGCAGUGGGAAUUUUGGACAAUGGGGGAACCCUGAUCCAGCCAUUCCGCGUGAGUGAAGAAGGCCU